AUACCCUAUUAUUUUUAAUGUAAAGGAAAGUUAAAGCCUGAGUAUUAUUAGUUAAAUCUUGAAACUUAAAGAAUUUGGCGGUAUUAUAGUCUAUUUAGAGGAAUCUGUUAUGUAAUCGAUAGUCCACGUUGAACCUUACUUAUAUUAAUUCUUGUAUACCGCUGUUUAAUGAAUAUAUUUUUAGAUAAUUUUCUAGAUAAAUUAGUAAUUAAAAUUUCAAGUCAAGGUGCAGUAAUAUAUAAGAUAAAUAAUGGAUUACAAUAAAUUGUAUUUAUAUGGAUAAUGAUUGAAAUAUUAAUUUGAAGGUGGAUUUAAUUGUAAUUUUUUAUAGAUUAUUAUGAUGAUUUUUAGCUCUAUAAUAUGCACACAUCGCCC
rnacentral:rRNA from 1 species